GUAGAUUAGAGUGUGCUAGCUUGCUAGAAUUUAGAUACAGGUGCUGCACGGCUGUCGUCAGCUCGUGUCGUGAGAUGUUGGGUUAAGUCCCACAACGAGCGCAACCCUUGUGUUUAGUUGCAAACAGGUCAAGCUGUGCACUCUAGACAGACUGCCGUGGACAACACGGAGGAAGGUGGGGAUGACGUCAAAUCAUCAUGCCCCUUAUGAUCUGGGCUACACACGUGCUACAAUGGCCGGUACAACGGGCAGCGAAGGAGCGAUCCGGAGCGAAUCCUAAAAAGCCGGUCCCAGUUCGGAUUGCAGGCUGAAACUCGCCUACAUGAAGUUGGAGUUGCUAGUAAUCGCGAAUCAGAAUGUCGCGGUGAAUGCGUUCCCGGGUCUU
rnacentral:rRNA from 1 species